AGUGGAUGGGGAGCAACCUAGUUGUGCGUGUGUAAAGGUAGUGCCAAGAAAAGCGGUGAUCAUGAUGAAAAUCAAUUCCCGGUACCCGAAACCGACACAGGUGGGCAAGUAGAGAAUACUAAGGGGCGCGAGGUAACUCCCUCCAAGGAACUCGGCAAAAUGACCCCGUAACUUAGGGAGAAGGGGUGCCACCGAGAGGUGGUCGCAGUGAAGAGGCCCAGGCGACUGUUUAGCAAAAACAUAGGUCUCUGCAAACUCGAAAGAGGAGGUAUAGGGGCUGACGCCUGCCCAGUGCCGGAAGGUUAAAGAAGUUGGUCAGUCUUAGGAUGAAGCUAGCGACUGAAGCCCCGGUGAACGGCGGCCGUAACUAUAACGGUCCUAAGGUAGCGAAAUUCCUUGUCGGGUAAGUUCCGACCCGCACGAAAGGCGUAACGAUCUGGGCGCUGUCUCGGAGAGAGGCUCGGCGAAAUAGGAUUGUCUGUGAAGAUACGGACUACCUGCAUUUGGACAGAAAGACCCUAUGAAGCUUUACUGUAGCUUGGAAUUGUGUUCGGGCUUCCUGUGCGCAGGAUAGGUGGGAGGCGUAGAAGGUAUUCUUGUGGGGAUACUGGAGCCAACGGUGAGAUACCACUCUCAGGAGGCUAGAAUUCUAACUUAAUUAAGGACAGUUUCAGGUGGGUAGUUUGACUGGGGCGGUCGCCUCCAAAAAGGUAACGGAGGCGUACAAAGGUUCCCUCAGACUGGUUGGAAAUCAGUCGAAGAGUGCAAAGGCAGAAGGGAGCUUGACUGCGAGAAGUACAGUUCGAGCAGGGUGGAAACACGGUCUUAGUGAUCCGACGGUGCUGUGUGGAAGGGCCGUCGCUCAACGGAUAAAAGUUACUCUAGGAUAACAGGCUGAUCUCCCCCAAGAGUUCACAUCGACGGGGAGGUUUGGCACCUCGAUGUCGGCUCAUCGCAACCUGGGGCGGAAGUACGUCCCAAGGGUUGGGCUGUUCGCCCAUUAAAGCGGUACGUGAGCUGGGUUCAGAACGUCGUGAGACAGUUCGGUCCAUAUCCGAUGUAGGCGUGAGAAUAUUGAGAGGAGCCUUCCUUAGUACGAGAGGACCGGGAAGGACGCACCGCUGGUGUACCUGUUAUGAUGCCAAUUGUAAACGCAGGGUAGCCAAGUGCGGAGAGGAUAACCGCUGAAAGCAUCUAAGUGGGAAGCCCACCUCAAGAUGAGUAUUCUGGUGUAAGGUCACGGGAAGACGACCCGUAAAUAGGCACGAGGUGGAAGUGCAGAGAUGUAUGAAGCCGAAGUGUACUAAUAGACCGUCGGCUUGAC
rnacentral:rRNA from 1 species